rnacentral:rRNA from 1 species
GAUGAACGCUGGCGGCGUGCCUUAUACAUGCAAGUCGAGUGGGUUUAGACCCACGGCAAACGGGUGAGUAACACGUAGGUACUUUCCUUGUCACAGGAAUAACCCUCCGAAAGGAGGGCUAAUACCUGAUGUGAUCGCAAGAUUAAAGGGUAUCCGCAAGGAUUACCGGACAAGAAGAGGCCUGCGGCCUAUCAGCUAGUUGGCGGGGUAAAUGCCCACCAAGGCUAUGACGGGUAGCUGGUCUUAUAAGGAUGAUCAGUCACAUGGGCACUGAGACACGGGCCCAACUCCUACGGGAGGCAGCAGUAGGGAAUUUUGCGCAAUGGGCGAAAGCCUGACGCAGCGACGCCGCGUGCGGGAUGAAGGCCUUCGGGUCGUAAACCGCUUUUAUAAGGGACGAACUUUGACGGUACCUUAUGAAUAAGAGGUUGCUAACUCUGUG